GCAUAACGCGAAGAACCUUACCAAGGCUUGACAUACACCAGAACACCCUAGAAAUAGGGGACUCUUUGGACACUGGUGAACAGGUGGUGCAUGGUUGUCGUCAGCUCGUGUCGUGAGAUGUUGGGUUAAGUCCCGCAACGAGCGCAACCCUCGUUCUAUGUUGCCAGCACGUAAUGGUGGGAACUCAUGGGAUACUGCCGGGGUCAACUCGGAGGAAGGUGGGGAUGACGUCAAAUCAUCAUGCCCCUUAUGUCUUGGGCUUCACGCAUGCUACAAUGGCCGGUACAAAGGGCUGCAAUACCGUGAGGUGGAGCGAAUCCCAAAAAGCCGGUCCCAGUUCGGAUUGAGGUCUGCAACUCGACCUCAUGAAGUCGGAGUCGCUAGUAAUCGCAGAUCAGCAACGCUGCGGUGAAUACGUUCCCGGGUCUUGUACACACCGAGU
rnacentral:rRNA from 1 species